AAGAAUCCAGAGCAUUAUUUAGUUGACUCUCUAAAGAUGGAUACUUCUUCAGGCAUAGUGACGAUGAUGCUCUUGAUACUUGGAAGAACCCACGGAGACUCAGUGACCCAGAUGGAAGGCCAAGUGACGAUUUCAGAAGGGGCUUUGUUGACUAUAAACUGCACUUACUCAUCCACAAGUUACCCUACUCUUUUCUGGUAUGUUCAGUACCCUGGAGAAGGUCCACAGCUCCUCCUGAAAGCUGUGAAGGCCAAUGAUAAGGUCAGCAACAAAGAUUUUGAAGCCACAUACAAUAAAGAAGCCACUUCUUUCAACUUGGAGAAAGCCUCCAUCCAAGAGUCAGACUCGGCUGUGUACUACUGUGCUCUGGGUGACACAGUGGCAGAAACUGCAGGGGGAGCUGAGCACAAACUCUGA